rnacentral:tRNA from 1 species
GGCAAAAAAUAGCUAGCUCAGUCGGUUAGAGCGUCGUGCUAAUAACGCGAAGGUCACAGGUUCGAUCCCUGUGCAGGCCA